UCCGAGUUGACCCCGGCAGUCUCCCAUGAGUCCCCGGCAUAACCCGCUGGCAACAUGGGACGAGGGUUGCGCUCGUUGCGGGACUUAACCCAACAUCUCACGACACGAGCUGACGACAGCCAUGCAGCACCUGUCUCUCGGCUCCCGAAGGCACUCCCUCAUCUCUGAAGGAUUCCUGGGAUGUCAAGACCAGGUAAGGUUCUUCGCGUUGCAUCGAAUUAAACCACAUGCUCCACCGCUUGUGCGGGUCCCCGUCAAUUCCUUUGAGUUUUAACCUUGCGGCCGUACUCCCCAGGCGGUGCGCUUACCGCGUUGGCUCCGGCACCGAGGGGCAAGCCCCCCGACGCCCAGCGCACAUCGUUUAGGGCGUGGACUAC
rnacentral:misc_RNA from 1 species